rnacentral:lncRNA from 1 species
CGGUACAGAGUCAAUGUGGAGGCUAUAUACAGGGGGUACUGGUACAGAGUCAAUGUGGAGGCUAUAUACAGGGGGUACCGAUACAGAGUCAAUGUGGAGGCUAUAUACAGGGGGUACCGGUACAGAGUCAAUGUGGAGGCUAUAUACAGGGGGUACCGGUACAGAGUCAAUGUGGAGGCUAUAUACAGGGUGUACCGGUACAGAGUCAAUGUGGAGGCUAUAUACAGGAGGGUACCGGUACAGAGUCAAUGUGGAGGCUAUAUACAGGGGGUACCGGUACAGAGUCAAUGUGGAGGCUAUAUACAGGGGGUACCGGUACAGAGUCAAUGUGGAGGCUAUAUACAGGGGGUACCGGUACAGAGUCAAUGUGGAGGCUAUAUACAGGGGGGUACCGGUACAGAGUCAAUGUGGAGGCUAUAUACAGGGGGUACUGGUACAGAGUCAAUGUGGAGGCUAUAUACAGGGGGUACCGGAACAGAGUCAAUGUGGAGGCUAUAUACAGGGGGUACCGGUACAGAGUCAAUGUGGAG